GAUGAACGCUGGCGGCGUGCCUAAUACAUGCAAGUCGAGCGAACGGACGAGAAGCUUGCUUCUCUGAUGUUAGCGGCGGACGGGUGAGUAACACGUGGACAACCUACCUAUAAGACUGGGAUAACUUCGGGAAACCGUAGCUAAUACCGGAUAAUAUUUUGAACCGCAUGGUUCAAAAGUGAAAGACGGUCUUGCUGUCACUUAUAGAUGGAUCCGCGCUGCAUUAGCUAGUUGGUAAGGUAACGGCUUACCAAGGCAACGAUGCAUAGCCGACCUGAGAGGGUGAUCGGCCACACUGGAACUGAGACACGGUCCAGACUCCUACGGGAGGCAGCAGUAGGGAAUCUUCCGCAAUGGGCGAAAGCCUGACGGAGCAACGCCGCGUGAGUGAUGAAGGUCUUCGGAUCGUAAAACUCUGUUAUUAGGGAAGAACAUAUGUGUAAGUAACUGUGCACAUCUUGACGGUACCUAAUCAGAAAGCCACGGCUAACUACGUG
rnacentral:rRNA from 1 species